UACGGAGGGUGCGAACGUUGCUCGGAAUCAUUGGGCGUAAAGCGCACGUAGGCGGUCCAGCAAGCGGGGAGUGAAAUCCCUCGGCUUAACCGAGGAAGUGCUUUCCGAACUACUGGACUUGAAUACUGAAGAGGAUCGCGGAAUUCCCGGUGUAGAGGUGAAAUUCGUAGAUAUCGGGAGGAACACCAGUGGCGAAGGCGGCGAUCUGGGCAGAUAUUGACGCUGAGGUGCGAAAGCGUGGGGAGCAAACAGG
rnacentral:rRNA from 1 species